CUCAAAUGAAUUCUCAACAGUCUACCAUUACAGGAAUAGUCUUCGUUGCACAAGUUACAAACUGGAAUCCCACUGCAUCAUUUUCUGUUCCGAGCAAUAUGUGCCAUGCUCUACUUUAUCCUCAAUCACCUCAUCAGUGCUAUUAUAAUAGGCCGGUGAGUCUCUGCGCUGUUGGGGGUCCCACAUGGCACUAUGGGAGUGCUUUGGCCUGUGGAUUGGAUUACAAUUUAUCCAUAUCAGCAACUGCAGCUUCCUAACAAAGCCUGAGGGACCCUGAGCAAAAUUCAAGCCGGACAGAAUUCACCAAGGACAAUCUUGACAGGAAAGUAGGAUGGCAGACAAAUAUCUAGUUUUAUGACCUCAUGCUCCGACACGUCAACACUUGAGACCUGUCAUCAUCCAAGAGGUCUACAGGGACUAAGUCGAUGGUGCAUUUUGUGUAGAUGUCACAUAAGACUUUCUUUUUCAAGCAUAAAACAAUAGACAGAUAGACAUAUUGCAGCCAUUUUCCACGUUUUAUGGUUCUUGUUCUCUUAUUCUUGUUAUUGGAGAAUAAAGUCAUUGGAUUUUACAGUGAUCAGACGCUGACUGUUACACUUGCCCAAUGACUAUAUUUUUUAUCUACACUGCUAAGAUUAUCUAAAACGAACUAGAUCCACAAAAACCAGCACUGACCAGUAUAGAACAAUAAAAAGCCAGACUAUCAGCUCUGUCAAUGUUUUGUUGUGUUCCUGUAUUUUUUUCCAAUUAUGCACAGGAAUAAAGCAGGGUGGUCUGUCUUUUGGGUUAAAACUCAUACAGCAUACAAGGAAAAGGGGGGGGGGGGGGUAACUUGGGACAGUGGUACAAAGUGGCCACAGCACCUAGCCUACCUUUUCUGAGGGUUUGAGUACACCUGGCAAGACCAAUAAUGUAAUUUCCCACUUUAUUCUACUCAACUGCCGACCCUAAGUUUUCCUUCAGUCGAGAUGGAAAAGAAAAAACCAGGCAUGUCAUUCUCUGAAUCAAUUUCAUCCUUUCAAUAAAACAUAAAAUGUGUAUCUGUGUAAAUGCAUGAAACAUCAAAACACUAUUAAUAAUUCAUAUACCACAUGGUGUCCACAGCUGUGCUAAAUCCACAAUGUUUUUAAAAACGGAAUGGUGUACUUAACAAUAUAUUCAGUCCUAUAAAAUAUCAUGUAAAUUUCAGUUCAGUGUAACUGGAUUUUGUGAUAGCCUACAACCACAUUGUAUUUACAGCAGAUAUAUUUUUAAUACAGAACAGGCAGCUUAUUCACAGAAACAAAAUAUUCAAAGACACUUAGUUUAAACUAAUCACUAAAAUGUAAUGGACUGUACCAAUGCCAAAACUCCAUGAGCAAUUUGUAUUAAUAAAGACUAGACGCAUUUCAUUUAUCUAUAUACAGUUCAUGGUGAAAUAACAAGGCAUAAUGUGUGGUCACAAGUAAAUCAUUUACAUGUGUUCAUGUUAUGACAGAUAUAGUGGUAUAGAUUACAAUGCAGUAUGUGCUUCAGAGUCAUGUUUAUAUAUAUAUAUAUAUAUAUAACAGAAAAACAGAUCCUUUACUGUAGGGGGCAUAUCCUGUCUGGCUCAGAAGACUUCGAAGAAUUUUAAGCUAUUUGCUGCCAUCUUGUGGACACUUUUGAAAACUUCAUUCUGUAUUCUUUGACCUUAAAUCUUCAUACUGAAAGGUCUUUUACUCAAUUUUUGUUCAUGUAACAUAUGUACUGUAACAUGUCAAAGUACACGUCAAAUAUUUCUAAGAUUAAUAAAUCAC